UACGUAGGGGGCUAGCGUUGUCCGGAAUCAUUGGGCGUAAAGCGCGUGUAGGCGGUUCGGUAAGUCCGCUGUGAAAGUCGGGGGCUCAACCCUCGAACGCCGGUGGAUACUGUCGAACUAGAGUGCGGAAGAGGCGAGUGGAAUUCCUGGUGUAGCGGUGAAAUGCGCAGAUAUCAGGAGGAACACCAAUUGCGAAGGCAGCUCGCUGGGACGUUACUGACGCUGAGGCGCGAAAGCGUGGGGAGCAAACGGG
rnacentral:rRNA from 1 species